rnacentral:rRNA from 1 species
GCAAGUCGAACGGUAACAGAGAGAAGCUUGCUUCUUUGCUGACGAGUGGCGGACGGGUGAGUAACGCGUGGGGAUCUACCUUAUAGUUGGGGAUAGCCCGGAGAAAUCCGGAUUAAUACCGAAUACGAUCUACGGAUGAAAAGGUGCCUCUUCUUGAAAGCACUUGCUAUGAGAUGAGCCCGCGUUAGAUUAGUUUGUUGGUGGGGUAAAGGCCUACCAAGGCAACGAUCCGUAGCUGGUCUGAGAGGAUGAUC